rnacentral:rRNA from 1 species
UUUCCGUAGCAAUACGGAAAUGGCGCACGGCGCACGGGUGCGUAACACGUGGGUAAUCUGCCCUUCGAUGGGGAAUAACUCGCCGAAAGGCGAGCUAAUUCCGCAUAACAUUCCUUGGACUCCGGUUCGAGGAUUCAAAGGCGUAAGUCGUCGGAGGUGGAGCCCGCGCACGAUUAGCUAGUUGGUGAGGUAAUGGCUCACCAAGGCUAUGAUCGUUAGCUGGUCUGAGAGGAUGGCCAGCCACACUGGAACUGAGACACGGUCCAGACUCCUACGGGAGGCAGCAGUGGGGAAUCUUGCACAAUGGGCGAAAGCCUGAUGCAGCGACGCCGCGUGGGGGAUGAAGCUUCUCGGAGUGUAAACCCCUUUCGACCGGGACGAAUACCUCGCAAGAGGGGUGACGGUACCGGUAUAAGAAGCCCCGGCUAACUACGUGCCAGCAGCCGCGGUAAGACGUAGGGGGCCAGCGUUGCUCGGAAUUACUGGGUGUAAAGGGUUCGUAGGCGGUGUGGCAAGUCGGGAGUGAAAUCUCUGGGCUCAACCCAGGGGCUGCUUCCGAAACUGCCGUGCUAGAGUGUGGGAGAGGCGCGUGGAAUUGCAGGUGUAGCGGUGAAAUGCGUAGAUAUCUGCAGGAACACCCGUGGCGAAAGCGGCGCGCUGGACCACUACUGACGCUGAGGAACGAAAGCUAGGGGAGCAAACAGGAUUAGAUACCCUGGUAGUCCUAGCCCUAAACGAUCAGGACUUGGGGUGCCACCCGUUCGGGUGUCGUCCCGGAGCUAACGCGUUAAGUCCUGCACCUGGGGAGUACGGUCGCAAGACUG